GAGGGUAUAGCUCAUUGGUAGAGUGUGUCCCUAGCAUGCACAAGGUCCUGGGUUCAAUUCCCAGUACUGCCA
rnacentral:tRNA from 1 species